rnacentral:lncRNA from 1 species
UUGAAUCGGCACCAAAAUUGGCAGUAUUUCAAUACUAUAUGGAAAGUAUCUCUCUAUCGAAUUUCGGGGAAAAAUACCUUCGGCAAGGUAGUUAAUGAGCCAACCGCAGUUCAAGAAAAUUCCUAAGGCAUUCUGCCUUUGACUUUCAUUUCCCAAAUUUCCAAUCGUUCAACCAAGAAGGUUAUCCAACCAUGGUUCAUUUGUAAAAAUAAGGGUCUAAGAUACACCCAUAAUAUCUUUGGUAGUGUUUAAUAUCAAAAACAUCAACUAACAAGUUCACUACAAGAUUUGGUUCCAAACCAGUCCAAACAUUAGGGUUUUCCAAAACACAGCAGUCCACUUGCUUCAGUCACAAAUCAGUCAAUAUAGCUCGAAAUCGAGCAUGGCUUACGCCGUUGGAAAAUACAUUCAUAGGACUAAAAUAUCACAGAAGAAAUCAUUUCCAAAUUCGGCACCCA